UCCUGGGCUCUAAGGCCUGGAACCCCAGGCUGCACUUGAACUAUGAGAUCAGUGGCAGGAAUUACUAUUCUCCUAACUUUGGGUAUCAUGGGUGAUGCUAAGUCCACACAGCCAGAAGCAGUGGAGAGUACUGAAGAAAAACCUGUGAACCUGCCCUGUAACCACCCCACAAUCAGUGGAGCUGAGUACGUACACUGGUAUCGACAGAUUCCCGGCCAGGGUCCAGAGUAUGUGAUUCACAGUCUGAAAGGCAAUGUGAGCCAUGGAAUGAUGUCUCUGAUCAUUACCACAGACAGGAAGUCCAGUACCUUGAUCCUGGCCCAGGUCACCCUGAGAGACUCUGCUAUCUACUACUGCAUCUUGAGAGACACACAGUGGGAUGGAGGGGGCUGCACCUGUGUGAGAAGCCUAGAAGUGCAGCAGAGUCCUCAGUCCAUGAUAAUCCAAGAGGGAGAAGAUGUCACCAUCAUGUGCAAACCCUCAAAGACUUCAUAUUCCCUGCACUGGUAUUUUCAGAAGCAUGAAGAAGGCCCUAUCUUCUUGAUGAUGUUACAGAAAGGUGGAGAAGAGAAGAAUCGUGACAAAAUAGUUGCCACAUUUAAUGAAAACAAGCAGCAAAGCUCCCUGAACAUCACAGCCUCCCAGCCUAGUCAUUCAGGCACCUACUUCUGUGGAGUAGACACACAGUGA